rnacentral:rRNA from 1 species
AUGACGGCGGCGUACGGAUCCAGGCGAGCGGCGGCGGACGGGUCGGACGCGCGGGAUGACGGCGGCGUACGGAUCCAGGCGAGCGGCGGUAGGACCUUGCAAGGCGUCGGGGUUCUCCGUGGCGGCACCAUGGUUGCUCCGCCGUACAGGGGAGGCACGGCAGGGCGAGCAUGGCAGAGGCCGAGAACCAGGUUGUUCACGCCCCCUCCAUGGCUCGUCGUCGCCCAGUGGCAAGAUCCUGCUGCAGGCGAGCCCUCCAGACAGCAUCUCUCCUCCCUCUCGGUGUUACAGAAUGAAGUCAAUCUCCUUAACCCGCUGGCUGAGCUAGAGAAGCAAGCACAAGAAGAAGCAUCUCGUGCAGUCCAUCAGCUCAUCCUGAUGUCAAGUGCCAAGACCGCUUCAACAUAUAAUUUGGCUGUCAAAGUGCUACAUCGCAUCUCACUAGACCUAUUGAGCUGCUUCCAUGACCAUACUUCAAAUAGGGGAGAUUAG